rnacentral:rRNA from 1 species
UACACCUACGGGGGGCAGCAGUGGGGAAUAUUGCACAAUGGGGGGAACCCUGAUGCAGCGACGCCGCGUGGGUGAAGGAGUAUUUCGGUAUGUAAAGCUCUAUCAGCAGGGAAGAAAGAAAUGACGGUACCUGACUAAGAAGCCCCGGCCAACUACGUGCCAGCAGCCGCGGUAAUACGUAGGGGGCAAGCGUUAUCCGGAUUUACUGGGUGUAAAGGGAGCGUAGACGGCGAUGCAAGUCUGAAGUGAAAGGCGGGGGCCCAACCCCCGGACUGCUUUGGAAACUGUAUAGCUGGAGUGCAGGG